CUUGGUGCGGAACGGUGCGGCGCCGCUGACCUGGACGCCUACGUCAAAUAAGUUGCGUUAAAAUGGCUUGGUGAGAAAACUCGUUCCUCUCCUCCCGCGAUCUAGGGUUUCCCGUUGCUCACCCUUCUCUGCCGAAGCUCCUCCCUCACUCUCGCCGCCUCCCUCUCUCGUCGAGCUACAGCUCCUUCUCCGCGGCGCCUCCCUCUCUCGCGACGAGCACCACCUUCGCCGCGACGACUCCCUCUCUCGCGACGAGCAGCUCCUUCGCCGCGACACGACGCCUCCCUCUCUCGCGACGCCUCCCUCUGCGUCGAGCUCUCUCGCUGCAACUCGUGACUCUCCUCCCCACCGCAACAUCCUCUCAGGUAUAAUUAGAGAAAAUUCAUGGCAGCUGGUUCUUCAUCAUCAUCAUCUUCCACUCGACGGCGUAUGAAUGACGAGCAAUGUGAAGCUCCCCACAUAUUAUGUUAUUGUGGAUUACGAGCUAUUCUCCAGACAUCAUGGACCGAAUCAAAUCUAGGAAUGCGAUUUUUUUCAUGUCCAAAAUAUAGAGAAAGAGGAUGUGGCUUUUUCUUAUGGCAUGAUCCAGAACCAUCACAGAGAAGUAAGACAAUUAUUAAUGAGUUGAAGUGGAAUAACAAAAAAUUAAAGUUGGAGAUUAGUGAAUUAAAGAAAUGUGCUAGUUACAAUGGUGAAGCUGAUUAUAAUGAUGUUUUGGAUGAUGGAAAAACAAUUAUGCAACUAAGCAGUUGAGUGAUGAAAUAUCUUCAUUGAAUAGGAAAUUUAGAAUUGCUAUCAUGGUAAUUGUAUGUACUUGGAUUGUGAUGAUGUGGAUGUGGUUGAUGUAACUUGUGUUGUGAUGUUACUUGACAUUGUGAUGUAACUCUAUGUGGUGUAACUUGUUUUCUUAUGUAACUUGUUUUGUUUCGUGGUUACAAUUUCAAGAUGGUCCUAUUAUUGAUCCUAAGCUUGAAA